rnacentral:rRNA from 1 species
UGCCAGCCGCCGCGGUAAUACGGGGGGAGCAAACGUUGUUCGGGUUCACUGGGCGUAAAGGGGAAGUAGGCGGCUAGAUUAGUGGGGCGUGAAAUCCUUCGGCUCAACCGAAGACCUGCGUUCCAAACUGUCUGGCUUGAGUCCGGGAGGGGAGACGGGAAUUCCUGGUGUAGCGGUGAAAUGCGCAGAUAUCAGGAAGAACACCGGCGGCGAAGGCGCGUCUCUGGACCGGUACUGACGCUGAGGCGCGAAGGCGUGGGUAGCGAACGGGAUUAGAUA